AUUGAACGCUGGCGGCAUGCCUUACACAUGCAAGUCGAACGGCAGCAUGAUCUAGCUUGCUAGAUUGAUGGCGAGUGGCGAACGGGUGAGUAAUACAUCGGAACGUGCCCUGUAGUGGGGGAUAACUAGUCGAAAGAUUAGCUAAUACCGCAUACGACCUGAGGGUGAAAGUGGGGGACCGCAAGGCCUCAUGCUAUAGGAGCGGCCGAUGUCUGAUUAGCUAGUUGGUGAGGUAAAGGCUCACCAAGGCGACGAUCAGUAGCUGGUCUGAGAGGACGAUCAGCCACACUGGGACUGAGACACGGCCCAGACUCCUACGGGAGGCAGCAGUGGGGAAUCUUGGACAAUGGGCGAAAGCCUGAUCUAGCAAUGCCGCGUGUGUGAAGAAGGCCUUCGGGUUGUAAAGCACUUUUGUCCGGAAAGAAAUGGCUCUGGUUAAUACCUGGGGUCGAUGACGGUACCGGAAGAAUAAGGACCGGCUAACUACGCG
rnacentral:rRNA from 1 species